GGGUCAAAGAGCCCCUGGCAUGAAGCACCAAAGGUGUGAUUCUUGCCUCCAUUAGUUAAGUCUUUUGCUUUAAGGUAAUAGUGUUAGGUGUGUUCCUCCCAUUUUCCCUUAGGGAACCAUAAAUACCGCUUUCAAUUCUUUUUAGCUUACUCUUAAUCGAAGAAGAAAGAAAACUAACUUCACUGGAAAGAAGGCUGAAUGAAUGUAUUCUAUAAAUAUCUUCAUAAGACUCUACUUAGGGGGUAUCCAAAGACUUAUGAGGCAGUCUCAGGCAUAAGAUCCAUGGAGGGAUGCUUUGGAUUGGCCUCAUCAACACAGACUCACUCCUUGAGAAAACUGAUAUUGUCCUUCACCAUGGGCAGGGGCCAAGUGGAACCACAGCACACAAGAUGCUCAAAGGGGAGGAAAAACUUUACAGGGGAAGAGGAGGAAGGACAGUUUUCUACAGAGGAAGACAAG
rnacentral:lncRNA from 1 species